CUCAGAACGAACGCUUGAGCGGCGCUGCUUAACACAUGCAAGUCGAGCGAGAAAGGGCUUCGGCCCCGGUAAAGCGGCGCACGGGUGAGUAACACGUAGGUAAUCUGCCCCCAGGUGGUGGAUAACGUUCCGAAAGGAGCGCUAAUACGGCAUAAGACCACGUCUUCCAAAGAGGAUGGGGUCAAAGCCGGCCUCUUCAUGAAAGCUGGCGCCAGGGGAUGAGCCUGCGGCCCAUCAGCUAGUUGGUAGGGUAAUGGCCUACCAAGGCGAACACGGGUAGCUGGUCUGAGAGGAUGAUCAUCCACACUGGAACUGAGACACGGUCCAGACUCCUACGGGAGGCAUCAGUGGGGAAUCUUGCGCAAUGGGCGAAAGCCUGACGCAGCGACGCCGCGUGAGUGAUGAAGGCCUUCGGGUUGUAAAGCUCUGUGGAGGGGGACGAAUAAGGGUUGGUAAAUAUCCAACUCGAUGACGGUACCCCUUUAGCAAGCACCGGCUAACUCUGUGCCAGCAGCCGCGGUAAGACAGAGGGUGCAAACGUUGUUCGGAAUCACUGGGCGUAAAGGGCGCGUAGGCUGCCCGCACAAGUCUGCGGUGAAAACCUCCGGCUUAACCGGGGGCCGGCCGUGGAAACUGUCGGGCUGGAGGCUGGGAGAGGGCAGCGGAAUUCCCGGUGUAGCGGUGAAAUGCGUAGAGAUCGGGAGGAACACCGGCGGCGAAGGCGGCUGCCUGGACCAGUCCUGACGCUGAGGCGCGAAAGCUAGGGGAGCAAACAGGAUUAGAUACCCUGGUAGUCCUAGCCCUAAACGAUGGAUACUGGCUGUGGGGGGUAGCCAAUCCCCCCGUGGCGAAGCUAACGCAUUAAGUAUCCCGCCUGGGGAGUACGGUCGCAAGUCUGAAACUCAAAGGAAUUGACGGGGGCCCGCACAAGCGGUGGAGCAUGUGGUUCAAUUCGACGCAACGCGAAGAACCUUACCUGGGCUCGAAGUGGGGCGGAAGAGGGCUGAGAGGCCCUUGUCCCUUCGGGGACUGCCCCAGAGGUGCUGCAUGGCUGUCGUCAGCUCGUGUCGUGAGAUGUUGGGUUAAGUCCCGCAACGAGCGCAACCCUUGUCCUUAGUUGCUAACGGGAGAGCCGAGCACCCUAAGGAAACUGUCGGCGAUAAGCCGGAGGAAGGCGGGGAUGACGUCAAGUCCUCAUGGCCUUUAUGUCCAGGGCUACACACGUGCUACAAUGGGCGCCACAAAGGGCCGCAAACCUGCAAAGGGGAGCCAAUCCCAGAAAAGCGCUCUCAGUUCGGAUUGGAGUCUGCAACCCGACUCCAUGAAGCUGGAAUCGCUAGUAAUCGCGGAUCAGCAUGCCGCGGGAAUACGUUCCCG
rnacentral:rRNA from 1 species